rnacentral:rRNA from 1 species
UACGGGGGGGGGCAAGCGUUGUUCGGAAUUACUGGGCGUAAAGGGCUCGUAGGCGGCCAACUAAGUCAGACGUGAAAUCCCUCGGCUUAACCGGGGAACUGCGUCUGAUACUGGAUGGCUUGAGUGUGGGAGAGGAAUGCGGAAUUCCAGGUGUAGCGGUGAAAUGCGUAGAUAUCGGGAGGAACACCUGUGGCGAAAGCGGCUCACUGGACCACAACUGACGCUGAGGCGCGAAAGCGUGGGGAGCAAACAGG